UACGGAGGGUGCAAGCGUUAUCCGGAUUUAUUGGGUUUAAAGGGUGCGUAGGCGGUAGAUUAAGUCAGUGGUGAAAGCCCACAGCUCAACUGUGGAAUUGCCAUUGAUACUGAUUUACUUGAAUGUAGUUGAAGUAGGCGGAAUACAUCAUGUAGCGGUGAAAUGCUUAGAUAUGAUGUAGAACACCAAUUGCGUAGGCAGCUUACUAAGCUAUUAUUGACGCUGAGGCACGAAAGCGUGGGGAGCGAACAGG
rnacentral:rRNA from 1 species